rnacentral:rRNA from 1 species
GGAAUAUUGGUCAAUGGCCGAGAGGCUGAACCAGCCAAGUAGCGUGCAGGAUGACUGCCCUAUGGGUUGUAAACUGCUUUUAUGCGGGGAUAAAGUUCAGCACGUGUGCUGUUUUGUAGGUACCGCAUGAAUAAGGACCGGCUAAUUCCGUGCCAGCAGCCGCGGUAAUACGGAAGGUCCGGGCGUUAUCCGGAUUUAUUGGGUUUAAAGGGAGCGCAGGCGGAGGCUUAAGCGUGACGUGAAAUGCCGCGGCUCAACCGGUGACGUGCAGCGCGAACUGGAGUCCUUGAGUGAGUACGAGGUAUGCGGAAUUCGUGGUGUAGCGGUGAAAUGCUUAGAUAUCACGAAGAACUCCGAUUGCGAAGGCAGCCAACAAGGCCUUUACUGACGCUAAAGCUCGAAGGUGCGGGUAUCGAACA